rnacentral:rRNA from 1 species
CACGUAGGGCGCAAGCGUUGUCCGGAAUUAUUGGGCGUAAAGAGCUCGUAGGCGGUCUGUUGCGUCCGCUGUGAAAACUCGAGGCUCAACUUCGAGCUGUCGGUGGAAACUUUCUGGCUAGAGUCCGGAAGAGGAGAAUGGAAUUCCUGGUGUAGCGGUGAAAUGCGCAGAUAUCAGGAAGAACACCCGUGGCGAAGGCGGUUCUCUGGGACGGUACUGACGCUGAGACGCGAAAGCGUGGGGAGCGAACAGG